AUGUCUAAGCAAUCAAACGGGUAAGUAGAACCGAGCAACACACCCAACAAUGUAUCCAUAACGCAGUUGAUGUAACAUUGGUACACUAUAAAAUUUGAAAGAGUAUUUUGAUGAAGAUUUUAAAAAAUCUCUACACUACAUUUUAUUUAUAGCAAUUUAAAAAACUCCAUUAAUUAAAAUUCAAAAUUUUAGAACAAAAACUCAUUUUCUCUUUUUCCCCGAAUGAGAGGCGCUAAGUUAGCGCUGAGAGAGACCAUGAAACCUAAGUUUUCUACCCCCAUUUCAGCCACCGUUCCGCCGCCAUUUCCGCCGCCGCCGCCGCCGUUAUCACUGUCGUGUCCGUUGCAGUAGAGAGCUUCUGCCACUAGGCAAAGAUGGAAACUAGGGUUUGUAGCUGUAGUUCUCAUCAUUUGAAGAUAAUUCACUAUGAAGUUCCUUAAGUGUCCUUCCUUGGAUCGGUAAUUGUAGUUUCAAACGAAUUUGAGUUGAAUUAUGGGAUUUUAUAACAUAAUUUUAGUAUACUGUAAGAGUAUCGUGAAAUUUGUCCAGGCUUAAUGAUUUCUUUGGUGAUUUGAAUUUGGAAGAACGUACUAUCAGAGGAUUCCUUGAAACUUAUACUUGUAAGGACUAAUUAGUGACUUUUAAGUUUCAACAGAAUUGAUUUUGGAUUUGGAUUUGCUCACUGGAUUUGGAUUAACUAGCAAUUCUUUGUGGAUGCAGAGAUAAAGUUCUGUUAUUUUAAUUUAUUUUUUGGGCUAGGUUCAGUUUCAACUUAAAAUCCAGUGGUUAAAAUAUAUGUUAGAUAAUGGCAUUUUGAUUCAUAUUUUGGUUAUAACUAAUGGGAAUUUUAAAUACAAGGAUUUAUCAAGCAACUCAAUAAAGGGUCUAAUACCUUCUUCUAUUGGAUAACUCACACAUUUGCAACUUUUGUAAGUUCAUUUUGCACUGCAUAAUGAUAUUGAUAACCAUAACAUUCAACAUAGUAAGCUUGAUCCUGAUUUUCUUAGGAACUUGUUGACGAAUUUCUUUUUUGGUAAAAUCCCUAACGAGGGAGUACUAGGAGCCUUUGGGAAAAACGUGUAAGUACUUCACACAGCAAAAACAAAUUCCUGUCAUAUUAUCUGCUAUUUUAAGGUGCAGCUAUGCUAUAUUGUAUCUACAAAGUAUGAAUAUUGUUUUGUUGGAAUAUUGCUUAAUGCAAAUAUUUCUUCCCGUCUGAAUCUUAAGCAUCACAUAUUUACACAUGAUUACUGACUGUAUCAAAUAAAGGAGAUAAUCUGUCCUAAUUGAUUUUAACAAUAUCUGCUAGGUCACAGCAGAAGUAGCAUCUAUAUCUAUGUUGAAAUUAUUUGUUUAUUUUUUAUCCUAUAUGAAUUCAGUUGUACACAAUAUAUUUAUAUGAAAGAAGCCGCAAAGUUUGAUUGUAAGAAAAACAUUCUAUUGCAAAAUAAGAAGAUAAUUCAAGUUAGGAAAAAAUAAUGAAAAGCAAAAUUAAAAGAUUGGAAUCCCCCUACAGGUUUCACAUAUGAUUCUAUUAGUUCCAAUUGCUUGGAAGAUAAUUCAAUAGGCGUUUUCUUCUUGCUCUUGAUUAUAAUCUUUCGCACUCAAUUUGGCUAUAUAUUUUCUUCGAGUAUAGUUGUGAUUAGAGAGGUUAAUAAGUUGUCACUCCUCUUAGCCUUCACAAUUCUACUCAAUAGUAUCCAACCUGUUUUGUCAGGUAAUCUACAAUCUUUAAAUUUUAUCACAUAUAUUAACUAAAACAUAUAUAGAAUUUAUACAAAGAGAUAGGUUGACCUUACAAGUCACUAGUGUGUGUAUAGACCAACUUGAUAAUUGAUAUACAUAACAAUAGUAACACAUACACAUAUUUUCCUAAACUAAAUUAUAUAUGCAUGGUUCAAUAGGGGUUGCCAUAGGAUCAGGAUGGCAAAAAUAUGUGGCAUACAAAAACUUGAGUUGCUACUAUCUAUUUGGGAUAUAUACGGCUUGGGUUUUUGUUGGGUUUCGUCUUUGAUCUUGGAGUUGAGGUACGUUUUAUAUAUUCUAACUUAUUCUUUUCUACAGCAUUAUUACAAUUUCAGAUGGAAUCAAAUCAUAAACAAAAAUUAGUCUAGUGAUAUUAGUGUUUCCAUUGAGGGCGUUACUUUCCAUCUUCAUAAGGUAUACUAUGAAUGGCUUCUUUUAAUAAUUAUUAUUUCUUCUACUACUUUGUGCUUUGAGCUCCAGUAUGAGGUGUUCAAUCUGCUACUUUUAUGCAAUUAAUUGCUUAGAUGAUAUUGGUUUAGAGUUUUAUUUUGAUAAAUGAGAGUUAGCACUCCUCUGUAAUUAAAAGUAUAAUAAAAUUCAUUGAUAGAGGUGUUCAAUCUGCUACUUUUAUUUGUUAAUGUACUUUUCACUAUGUUAAUGGUUUGUAUUCAAUGCAAAAAAUCUCCAUUAUUAAUAGAUGAUUCAAGCAUGGCACAUGCUGAAGUAACCAAAUGGGAUCCAAUAUCUUGCAGUCUUCCACUUGAUGAUAAGUUGGAAUUGUGGCAUCUAUGCCACAUGGAGACAUGGACUGAAGAUUGUAACCUAGAUGAAUGGGACGAUGUAAGUUUAUCGAUCUUUUUUGUUCUAAUUUGUUAUCUGCGUUUCAUGUUACUUAUGGGUUCAAGGAAAUGAAUGUUCAUUUCAUCUUCUUUUAAACUUGAUCUAUGAUCUAUUAUCCUUCAAUUAACUACUAUGUUGACAGAUCAGACCCCCAUAAAAAGGUUCACAGGACCACGGUUUCACUAAGAGCCAAUAUAACAAUGCAAGUUUCUAAAUGACUAUCAUCAUGGUUUGAAAAAGUUGCACUAAUAAUAACCAUCUAAUUCAUAUGAAAAUAAACACCCGUACUAAUGCAUCAACCUACAUUGCUUACUUUGUUAGAUUGUUCACCCUCUACGUUGGGCUGUCGGGGAACUGCACGGUGUGCGGGUUUGUGGGCUUUGCAAAGGACAACUUAUACGCGAACGGGUGCCUGCUUGGAUGUGGCGUAGAGUAAUGCAAUUCACCAAUGCAGAACCUGCAAUUAGAGAUGAUGAAACGUGUAACUGAACAAUGUGUAAACUCUGAUUUUUUUAACCAGCAAUUCGUUGGGUUUCUCUUUCU